UACGGGGGGGCAAGCGUUGUUCUGAAUUACUGGGCGUAAAGGGCUCGUAGGCGGCCAACUAAGUCAGACGUGAAAUCCCUCGGCUUAACCGGGGAACUGCGUCUGAUACUGGAUGGCUUGAGAUUGGGAGAGGGAUGCGGAAUUCCAGGUGUAGCGGUGAAAUGCGUAGAUAUCUGGAGGAACACCGGUGGCGAAGGCGGCAUCCUGGACCAACACUGACGCUGAGUGAGCGAAAGCCAGGGGAGCAAACGGG
rnacentral:rRNA from 1 species